GAUGAACGCUAGCGGGAGGCUUAACACAUGCAAGUCGAGGGGCAGCAUAGGGUAGCAAUACUCUGAUGGCGACCGGCAAACGGGUGAGUAACGCGUAUGCAACCUACCCUGUACAGGGGGAUAACCCGGAGAAAUUCGGACUAAUAUCCCGUAAUAAUAUCCGGAGGCAUCUUUGGAUAUUUAAAGUUCCGACGGUACGGGAUGGGCAUGCGUAACAUUAACUGGUUGGUAAGGUAACGGCUUACCAAGGCUAUGAUGUUUAGGGGUCCUGAGAGGGUGGUCCCCCACACUGGUACUGGAGACACGGACCAGACUCCUACGGGGAGGCAGCAGUGAGGAAUAUUGGUCAAUGGGCGCAAGCCUGAACCAGCCAUCCCGCGUGCAGGAAGACGGCCCUAUGGGUUGUAAACUGCUUUUCCAGGGAGAGAAACUUACGCACGUGUUGCGUGACUGACGGUACCCUGGGAAUAAGCAUCGGCUAACUCCGUGCCAGCAGCCGACGGUAAAACGUCUA
rnacentral:rRNA from 1 species